GAUGAACGCUAGCGGCAGGCUUAACACAUGCAAGUCGAGGGGCAGCGUGAGGGUUAGCAAUAACCCUUGACGGCGACCGGCGCAAGGGUGCGUAACGCGUGAGCAACUUGCCCUUAUCAGGGGGAUAACCGGUGGAAACGCCGACUAAUACCCCAUGGCAUCACAUCAAGGCAUCUUUAUGUGAUUAAAGAAAUUCGGAUAAGGAUAGGCUCGCGUGACAUUAGCUAGACGGCGGGGUAACGGCCCACCGUGGCUACGAUGUCUAGGGGUUCUGAGAGGAAGGUCCCCCACACUGGAACUGAGACACGGUCCAGACUCCUACGGGAGGCAGCAGUGAGGAAUAUUGGUCAAUGGUCUGACGACUGAACCAGCCAUGCCGCGUGAAAGGUCACGGCCCUAUGGGUCUUAAACUUCUUUUGCGAGGGAGCAAUAAGGUCUACGUGUAGUCCGAUGAGAGUACCUCGCGAAUAAGCAUCGGCUAACUCCGUGCCAGCAG
rnacentral:rRNA from 1 species